CCUAUUCCUUUGCUAGUAGGGUAAAGUUGUACCCAAUACCCCACCAUCAAGAUAUAGCCUUCCCACUCAUUGCCACUCUACCCAAGCUCUGAGUUAAUGUGUUAUGUGAGUUAAUAUCAUUAUAUGAUGCUACCAUUAUUUUUCUUCUUUUUUCAGGAAACUUAGUAUCAUAUUUUAAGCUACGUGGAUGUGCCACAGAAUCCAUCUGCACAUUUGGUAAUCAGACUUUCGACAUUGAUGGAGUAAUAAUGAAUUUAGGAAUUUCUUGUUCCAAAUCUCACAGUACACUCAGCGCUGAGGUCCACUGCUGCCCAGUUUUCAUGGCACUCACUGUUGCUUUAAUUAAAUUCAUUUCGGCCUUGUGAUCAGCUUUUCAAAACUUAUGAAAUAAAUAUGAUUGAACUUUGUCCGACUGGAAUAAAAAAUAAAGCUGUAGAACCUGAUCAGAGGCCAACAUUUACGACACUUCAUAAAUACUUAUAUUGUGAUUGUACUGGAACUUUAACUUCCAACAUAAAAAAAUCAUCAGAAUUAUUUACUAAAAUGAAAAUUCAAAGUUAAUUUAAAAUUUAGGGUAAAAAUACCCAAACAGGAAAUAUUCUCUAAGUCAGCUGUGAUUUCAUUUCUGCUACUCUAUUAAAUGUGAAGUUCCCUCUGAAUUUACUUUGAAUUCUCACUUUAGUAAAUAACUCUGACAAUGUUAUUAAUAUGAUCAGAGGAUACAGACAAGUCUAGCUAGAAGGGUGCUUCAGUUGUCCAAUUAAAAGGUUGACCAUAUCGCCUCCUGUGGCUAAUCGGAUACAAAUAUUAAAACUACACCAAGCAUAGCUUCCAAUAUCAUAUUUUACUAAGUGAUUUAGGUAAUGUUUAAGGCAGUUAUUAACUGGUUUCCAAAUUGUCAACUUUAUUGCUCAAAUUUUGUUACAAUUCCCAAAUUUGACAAGGAAGCUCCUUGCUAUGUGUAUCAAGUCUUUCACCUGCAAAGGAGCUAAACCUACAAAAUACUGGAAAUAUUCACAAUGAUCCGACUGCAUUUCUAUUUAAAUUGGUGCAAUCAUUAAACAAGCAACAGCUAAUAUAAAA